AGGAGUCAAGAAGCCAUUGAGCUAUUUUAGAGCUGUAGAGCUGGUCAAGCUGAGAUGCUUUAUUAUUUUUCCUUGUGGAUUUUUGGAUGGGUAACAGAGUCUACUUAAUAGAUAUUACUUCUUGUGCAAAUAAAGUAUGAGUCUUCCUAUUCUUUUAUGAAAUAUCCAGGGGCACAUCUGUUUGUGAUCUCUAGUGCUGUCAAGUUCAUUUGGAACUGUCAACUGUGUUUCCAGGAAUUUUAGGAAAUGAGGAACAAAGUCUUGUUAUUAUAGGAAGCUGAUCUGGGGGUGCAUUUUUUAAAAAUGAUGAAGAAAAAGCCCUUCAUGCUCAGAUUCUAAAUUAUUUCAAAUUUCUGUCAGGUAUAUAUUCACUGGGAUAUUUUUUUUUUCCAUUUCAGUGGGUAAGACGAAGAAGGAAAAAAAAAAAUGUGGUUCAGCCUUUGAGAAUAAUCCUCAGUAUAGGAUAAGAUAGGAGACAAAAGGAUAUUGAGGGUUCUCUUCCCUUUUGAGGAUUUCUGGAAGUAAAUUUUAACAUUGCUGUUGGCACCAAGAGUCCCAUCACUGCUUCUCAUAAGUUCUCCUGCAGCACUGCUAUUGAUGCUGGUCCUAUAACAAGAAUAGCAUGGGACCAGAUCGCUCAUAGCCCUUAAACUGAAUGGCAAACAACAGCACAGAGAAGCAGAGUUUCACCUAUAGAUAGAAAGGUUACUGUUUGUUCUUGUGUGUAUGUUAAUUUAUUCUCUGCAGAAGUGGAAAAAUUAGUUUAAUCCAAUUUUGGCUGACCAAGAGAAAGACAGGUAGUUUCUGUUGUUUUUUUCUUAUAAGACUCUUAACAGACUCUUUCCAACACAAGGGGUGGGGUAGGAAAAAAACAAGAUAAACAGCCAACUUCCAGGUAAUUAAUACUCAUUACUCCUUCAUCAAAGAACAAAUGAGGUGUAGCGUUUUCCAUGUUCAUUUCUGGAGAUCCAAAUCUUGGGGUUUAUUUGAUACAAUAUGCAAUGCUGUGAAGAAAACCCAGGCAUCUUGCCCACUAGCCUUGUGCACUAGAUGUCAGAUUGCUGGAGGGAAUCAUUCCAAGCCUAGGUUUCACCACUGCUUUUUGCAUCACUGGCAGCAUAACCCUCUUGCAGAUUGAAUGAUCCCAUCUACAGCUCCUUUCUGCUUCUGAGGACCCAUACAGGACUGCAACAUCAACAUCUAGAGCAGCACAGUGAGGAUCACGGCUUGGAAUACAGCAACAGCAAAAGGAUACAGAAAAGAGAAGAAACGGGAAAGCAAAUUAUCUGGGGGCUCAUUGCCUGCAGCUCCUGUCAUCUGCCCCACCAGCAGCAGAAGUGUGGUGCCCACAUAUAAACACUGAGGAGACCUCUCCAUUUGAGUACCUCCACACUGUACUUUCCAGGACAAUAGGUUUGCCUUCAUUGUCAGUUCAGUGAGGUAAAGCUUUGGCUAAAUUUUUACAAGACUGACAUCAUUCAUCCAGCAAUAGGAAAAGUCUGCAUUUUUUACCUACUUGGUUUCAGAAGAAGGCUAAGCAGUUUCAGACCUGGAUGAAAGAUGUCUUGUCUGAGUCAGCAGUGUUCUUCUCCAGCAUUUUGCAAGGUGUUUUCUCCUGCUGGCAAAAUCAGAAAUAGUAACAACUUAUCAAGGUUUUUAAAGGGACAACACUUUGGUCUGCAAUGGAAAUUUACUUCCAUUCCACCUUGUUAAGAGUUUGUUUACAUGGAAAUAAAUAGAAGGCAUUACUUUCGGAGCAAUCUAUAUGCGACCCAAGAAAAUUCCUCAUCACUCAGUGUGACUCAGACAAGCCAAAAAGUUGGACAUCCAUGAUUACGAUGAUUGCUAACCUUAACAAGAUUGGGAAUAAGAGUGAGGACCUCAAUCCUCGGUCCCAGUUUCCUCGGGGGAAUCAAUCCUUCCAUUAAAUAUCCAAGGAAGUUGCCGGUGGAUAUCUAUCCACAGUGAAUCUGGUGGCCAGAGUAGCUGGGUACAUUGAAUCCUCUACUUCAAAAGUCGAUGAGGUGUUGUUACUGUGAAUGUAAAACACAUGGGAGACGGAAGGGAGAAAAAGAAGGUGUGUGUCAUUUUGCAAUCAGUUCCCUAGAAAAAAAAAAAAAAAAAACAGAUUAAGGUUUCUAUACUCUGAAUUUUAUCUGCCUCUUAUAGAGCUGUCAGGUUGAACACAGCUUUUGUAUUUAACAAAAAUAAUCAGGUAGGCCAUGAAUUUUAAUAAAACAAGCAACAGCUCUGGG
ensembl:lncRNA